CCUACGGGUGGCUGCAGUGGGGAAUAUUGCACAAUGGGGGAAACCCUGAUGCAGCGACGCCGCGUGAGUGAAGAAGUAUUUCGGUAUGUAAAGCUCUAUCAGCAGGGAAGAAAAUGACGGUACCUGACUAAGAAGCCCCGGCUAACUACGUGCCAGCAGCCGCGGUAAUACGUAGGGGGCAAGCGUUAUCCGGAUGUACUGGGUGUAAAGGGAGCGUAGACGGCGGAACAAGUCAGAAGUGAAAACCAGGGGCUCAACCCUGGGAGUGCUUUUGAAACUGUUUGGAUGGAGAGCAGGAUAGGUAAGCGGAAUGCCUAGUGUAGCGGUGAAAUGCGUAGAUAUUAGGAGGAACACCAGUGGCGAAGGCGGCUUACUGGGCUGUAACUGACGUUGAGGCUCGAAAGCGUGGGGAGCAAACAGGAUUAGAUACCCGAGUAGUC
rnacentral:rRNA from 1 species